CAAAUCUCAGAGCCGCCGCACGCUGUGGCCGCAGCUCCAAGCACAACAGCGGGGGCCUCGUCACCUCCGGGGAGCUGCGGGUGCCCCUGGGAGUGAAUGUGGAGGCCGCACACAC